rnacentral:misc_RNA from 1 species
GAUGAAGAACGUAGCGAAAUGCGAUAAGUAAUGUGAAUUGCAGAAUUCAGUGAAUCAUCGAGUCUUUGAACGCACAUUGCGCCCCCUAGUAUUCCGGGGGGCAUGCCUGUCCGAGCGUCAUUGCUGCCCUCAAGCACGGCUUGUGUGUUGGGCCCCCGUCCCCGGUUUCCCCCGGGGACGGGCCCGAAAGGCAGCGGCGGCACCGCGUCCGGUCCUCGAGCGUAUGGGGCUUUGUCACCCGCUCUGUAGGCCCGGCCGGCGCCAGCCGACACCCAACUUUAUUUCUAAGGUUGACCUCGGAUCAGGUAGGGAUACCCGCUGAACUUAAGCAUAUCAAUAAGCGGAGGA